CUUUUUCUACUUUCCGUUGUUGUUUUGGCAACAAGGACAAUGGCGGAGGCAACAAGUACAGCUAAUCCACCGAAGAAGCUGGGAAGGUUGUAUUGCAAAGCUGUUUUCACUGGAUACAAGAGGGGACUUAGAAACCAGCAUGAAAAUACUGCACUGUUGAAGAUUGACGGUGUUGGUUCAAAAUCAGAAACUCCAUUCUACUAUGGCAAAAGAUGUGCAUAUGUAUACAAAGCUAAGAGCUGGUGCCAUGACAUUCCUAUACUUUUGGUGUCAGCCUCCAGCUCUCUCCUCCAGGUGUUUCUUGGCCUAAUCCUCUUAGGAAGACAGCAUGCCCUGGACAUGACAAAGCUAGUCGCAUUAGAGUCAUCUGGGGCAAGAUAACCCGAUCACAUGGAAACAGUGGUGCUGUUCGGGCCAAAUUCAGGAAAAAUCUCCCCUCAACAGCAAUGGGAAAAAGAAUCAGAGUUAUGCUGUAUCCAUCACAGAUAUAAGUGUUAGCAGUACAAAAUAAAGUU
rnacentral:misc_RNA from 1 species